CACAGAUCCUCGAUCGUCCCGACUGGGCUCCACUACUGACCAACUGGAAAUGGAACAACCCAAUGAACACGAACUUCAUCGAGCUCCUCCUUGAGCUUGGUUGCGUCACCUGCUCGGUAACAUCGGCACCUGCAAACUGAAAUCCCGCAAGAAAGAAGAACGAGUCCAUGAAGAAGUCAAAUGGACGUAGUCGA